rnacentral:rRNA from 1 species
UACGAAGGGGGCGAGCGUUGUUCGGAUUUACUGGGCGUAAAGGGCGCGUCGGCGGCCCGUUUUGUCAGGCGUGAAAGCCCUGGGCUCAACCUGGGAACUGCGCUUGGGACGGAUGGGCUUGAGAUCGGGAGAGGAGAGUGGAAUUCCCAGUGUAGAGGUGAAAUUCGUAGAUAUUGGGAAGAACACCAGUGGCGAAGGCGGCUCACUGGCUCGUAACUGACGCUCAUGCACGACAGCGUGGGGAUCAAACAGG